rnacentral:sRNA from 1 species
AUUCUUCCCCUCUCUACAACCCUCUCUCCUCAGCGCUUCUUCUUUCUUGGUUUGAUCCUGACUGCUGUCAUGGCGUGCCCUCUGGAGAAGGCCCUGGAUGUGAUGGUGUCCACCUUCCACAAGUACUCGGGCAAAGAGGGUGACAAGUUCAAGCUCAACAAGUCAGAGCUAAAGGAGCUGCUGACCCGGGAGCUGCCCAGCUUCUUGGGGCCUCUUCUCCCUCCAGAAAAGGACAGAUGAAGCUGCUUUCCAGAAGCUGAUGAGCAACUUGGACAGCAACAGGGACAACGAGGUGGACUUCCAAGAGUACUGUGUCUUCCUGUCCUGCAUCGCCAUGAUGUGUAACGAAUUCUUUGAAGGCUUCCCAGAUAAGCAGCCCAGGAAGAAAUGAAAGCUCCUCUGAUGUGGUUGGGGGGUCUGCCAGCUGGGGUCUUCCCUGUCGCCAGUGGGCACAUUUUUUUUUCCACCUGGCUCCUUCAGACACGCGCUUGAUGCUGAGCAAGUUCAAUAAAGAUUCUUGGAAGUUUUGAGGCUGA